rnacentral:RNase_P_RNA from 1 species
UGGGCCGGGGAGCCCGCUACGCCCCGUCCAGGGGUGAGGAAACACCGUCCACCAGGCGACCCCACGGCUCCGCAAGGAGCACGGGCAGUCCCCGUGGCAACGGCACAGAAACGACACGGCCACCACUGUAUGUCGAUGAGGUUGCGCGAGGCCCUCGGCGACGAGGGCCUGGUAACCAACCGAGAAUGGUGGUGGAUGCGUUGAAACGGCCGCCCCGUGGGGUGUAAGGCCUGGCACCGGGGUGAUUGGUCGCCGGACCGGUUAAGGCCGCUUAGUCAAAUGCGGGCGUGUUACAGAAGACGGGUUAUUCCCCGGCCCA